AUAUCAAUGCACAGGCUGGGCGUAUGAGAAGGCACGGCACUCUGCCGUGCCCAGCGGCACGGUAGAGGAGCCGGUUCCCCCCCCUCCCCGCUUUCCACCAUUUCUUCGAACACCUUCUCCGAUCGCGCGCCGCCGCCCAUGGGGGAGGCCUCCGAGUAUGACGGGGUGGAUGUGGCGGCUGUAUCGGCGAGGUUGCUGGAGCUGGUGGCCGACGACGACGUGACGGCGCUCGUCGACCUUCUCGCCGCGCACCCGCUCCUCGCGGAUGAGCCGGCGCCGUGGUACUCUCCGGCGCGGGGCGCGGAGCCCAUGACGCCGCUCAUGGUCGCCGCCGCGUACGGGUCCCUGGCUUGCCUCGACGCCCUCCUCUCGCCGCCCCACCUCGCCGACCCCAACCGCGCCUCCGCCUCCUCGCUCUCCACCCCGCUCCACCUCGCCGCCGCGGGCGGCGCUCCAUCCGCACCCACCACCGUUUCCCGCCUCCUCGCUGCCGGCGCCGACCCUACCCUCCUUGACCAUCUCCACCGCCGGCCGUCAGACCUCGUCGCGCUGCCGCCAAACUCGUUGCCCCUCAAGAACCACAUCCUCUCACUCCUUGGCGCCCGGAAGGAGUGGCCACCGGACCCCUCACUCCCGGACAUCAAGAACGGCGCAUACGCUUCCGACGACUUCCGCAUGUAUUCCUUCAAGGUCCGCGCGUGCUCCAGGGCCUACUCCCACGACUGGACGGAGUGCCCCUUCGUCCACCCAGGAGAGAACGCGCGGCGGAGGGAUCCGAGGAGGUACCACUACAGCUGCGUGCCGUGCCCGGAGUUCAAGAAGGGCGCCGGGUGCAGGAGAGGGGACAUGUGCGAGUAUGCGCACGGGGUGUUCGAGAGCUGGCUCCACCCGGCGCAGUACCGGACGCGGCUCUGCAAGGACGGCGUCGGCUGCGCGCGCCGCGUCUGCUUCUUCGCUCACACGCCGGAGGAGCUCCGGCCGCUGUACGUGUCCACAGGCUCGGCCGUGCCGUCGCCCCGCGGGGCGAUGGAGAUGGCCGCCAUGGGGAUGGGGCUGUCAUCUCCGGGAUCUUCGUUCACGCCGCCGCUGUCGCCGUCCGGUGGAGGGAGUGGCAUGGCGUGGCCGCAGCCUAACUUGCCGGCGCUGUGCCUCCCCGGGAGCGCAGGGAACUUGCACCUGAGCCGGCUGCGCACCUCGCUGAGCGCGAGGGCCAUGGCGGUCGACGAGCUUCUGGCCUCGGGGGACUAUGACAACCACCUUGGAUCGCCUGCCUCUGUGCGGUCGGCGAGGGGGAAGGCGCUUGUGCCGUCAAAUCUGGACGAACUGUUCUCGGCGGAGAUGGCGGCCUCCCACUCGCCGCGGUACGCCGACCAGGGCGGCGCUGCGUUCUCGCCGACGCACAAGGCCGCCUUCCUGAACCAGUUCCAGCAGCAUCAGAGCUUGCUCUCGCCACGGGCUGCGGCCACCCCAGAGCCUGUCUCACCAAUGAGCUCCCGGCUGCUCGCUGCGUUGGCGCAGCGGGAGAUGAUGCAGCAGCAGACACUGCGAAGCAUGAGCUCAAGAGACCUGGGCUCCAGCGCCCCGCUCCUGGUCGGCUCACCGGUGGUGGGCUCUAGCUGGUCCAAAUGGGGCCUCCCCUCGGGCACCCCAGAUUGGGGCGCUGACAACGACGAGCUUGGCCGUCUCAAGCGGUCCUCGUCGUUUGAUCUCCGGUCUGGGGCCAACACCGAUGAGCCUGACCUCUCAUGGGUCAAUACCUUAGUAAAGGAGCCCACGCCGGAGAAAUCAUCAACCAACGGGACCAUGGCAACAGAGUCUAUUGGCAUCUUGGGCCGAUCAGCAAGCCACCACGAGAGCAUUGCCGGUGAUGACAGUGCCAUCUUGGGUCGAACAGCGAACCACCGUGAGGGCAUCAUCGACGGUGAGGAGGACGCCGCCACUGGUGUCAUCGGUGGGUGGCUCGAACAGCUCCAGCUCGAUGAGAUGGUAGUUUAGAACAACCAAACACACAGAUGAAUCAAGAGAGGUGAAAUUUUUUUGGCUGUGCUUCAACCGGCUGCUACUGCCUGCUGCUGCUAAGUUACCAGCCUCAGGACAUCAUGCUAGCAAGUACUGGUGCCACAUUCUUUUGGGGUUGUUUGGUGUAGAAGGUGAGGAGAUUUUUAGCAUUUCGAGCUUGGCCACAGGUGAAGCAAAUGGAGGAAAUGGAGCCUAAUCAACUGCAUCAAAAUUGCCAGCUUUGCCUAGGGAAUUAAAACUUUCCGGGCGGGGAAAAAGAAUCCAAGGUCGGCAGGGGCAUUGACAAAGAUUGUGCUUGGAAUUUGGACGGAUCCCUUCUCUUUCUCCUGGAGGCAUUGAAAAGGAUCGGAUGGUUAACAUCAUAGUACACAUCGACCACUGCGAGGUUCACUUCUGAUGCGCUAUCGAUGAGUCCUCGUCUGCCCUGACCGAUGCAUCUUUCUUGUCAUAAUAAAACAACUGGCACGGACGGUGGCUCGGUAUGGUCGCCUCACGCCUUGGCUCACCCGCUGUGCUGACAUGUACUGUGUGACCGGGAAUACAAAAUAAAAUUGGGCUGCAUUAUCCUGGCAUGCAUAAUUUUACUACGAAGGUCUUGCACUGGAGACAAGAGCUGCUCUCGGGCCUACCAACAUGACCUGCAAAACGUGGGUGCGCCAAUAUGAACAAUUACUGUGUUAGGAGUUGCUUUAUAUAUAAAAAGUAGGGCGAGAGCCUGUUUCGAGAGGAGUAUGAUAAAAACUUAUUGUUUUCUUCAAGUGAU